GUCGGCUGUGUCAGGAACAAGCAGAAAACAUGUUAGCAUAACGAGAUAAAUCAAUUCAGAGCGACAGAAAAAUAAACAGAAAAAAUGGGAGAUUUUGGGCGGAGCCUGGAAAGAAUUUUUAAGGCUCACGCCACUAGAAAAAUCGGUGGAAUCUGAGGAUUUCGUAGCAGUUUCUUCAUUUCUGCAUCGUAGUUUUUAAUAUCUCAGAU
ensembl:ncRNA F41E7.15 ncRNA